rnacentral:rRNA from 1 species
CGGGACGGCCCGCCAGAGGACCCCUAAACUCUGUUUCUAUAUGUAACUUCUGAGUAAAACCAUAAAUAAAUCAAAACUUUCAACAACGGAUCUCUUGGUUCUGGCAUCGAUGAAGAACGCAGCAAAAUGCGAUAAGUAAUGUGAAUUGCAGAAUUCAGUGAAUCAUCGAAUCUUUGAACGCACAUUGCGCCCGCCAGUAUUCUGGCGGGCAUGCCUGUUCGAGCGUCAUUUCAACCCUCAAGCACAGCUUGGUGUUGGGACUCGCGUUAAUUCGCGUUCCUCAAAUUGAUUGGCGGUCACGUCGAGCUUCCAUAGCGUAGUAGUAAAACCCUCGUUACUGGUAAUCGUCGCGGCCACGCCGUUAAACCCCAACUUCUGAAUGUUGACCUCGGAUCAGGUAGGAAUACCCGCUGAACUUAAGCAUAUCAAUAA